rnacentral:snRNA from 1 species
GGAUGUGAGGGUGAUCUGGCUGUGACAUUUGUCACCCCAAUGAUUGCCAGGGUUGAUUUGGCUGGUUGGCUGGCUAGGUAGGUGACCCUUUCCUACCUCACCGCUCCAUGUGUGUCUAUCCCGAAGCUGUGCGCUCGGCUGAAGAGGGCGAUCUUCCCUGAAUAGAGGCCAGCAGGUCUUUGGUCAAGGGUACACAAGUAGCUGCGCUCCCUGGCUCAACCCCCAAACCAGCUCUCAAAUAAAUAACAUAUGUUUUACUUACUUAUUUAUUUAU